CUCAAGCAUGUUGUGGUAUAUUCCUAUUGGAAAAGGGAAUUUUUGUCAUUUAGCUAACUUGAUUUUGUUUGGAUGCGGCAGUUCAAGAGGAAUUAAGCGUCGCAAGACAAGCAGUACACCACACAGGAUGUUCUGCGGGUCCCAAACACGAAAAAUACAAAUCCGAGCCUCGGGAUCAAAAUGGGAAUUUCGAAGAAAGCUUCAAGAGACCCGUUGGGAAGCCGAAGAAAGGCCGUGAGAAGAAGCCUAAGCACCAAAGUUUGCAUCUACUGAUCCUAACAAGGAUUCGACAAACCAACUCGAUGUAAAGUUCCGGAAAUGUGUUUUCAAUCAAAUAAUGAAUUAAGUGUAGUGACAGUGUGAAGAAUUUUGAAGAAAAUAAAUUUAAAUUUUGAUGGAAUUCAAUUUGUUUUCAUUUUAUUGCCAGAAGUAGAAACGAAAAAAUAGUAGAAAGGAUCCAAAUAUCAUUGCGGUACUAAACACAUUUCAAGUAGCUUUCAUCUUCAUAACACGUUGAUCGCAUUAAAAAUUCACGUAAAUUGAACGUGAUCUCCAUAGAACAAAAUUCCUAUUAGGGGAGCGUUUACUUAUUUUAUUCGUACAAAUUACGUGAAAAUCAAUUGGAUAAAAAUUAUGUAGUUUUUCACGUAGCAGCGACGU